rnacentral:rRNA from 1 species
UACGAAGGGGGCUAGCGUUGCUCGGAAUCACUGGGCGUAAAGCGCACGUAGGCGGCUUGCUAAGUCAGGGGUGAAAUCCUGGAGCUCAACUCCAGAACUGCCUUUGAUACUGGCGAGCUUCGAGUCCGGGAGAGGUGAGUGGAACUGCGAGUGUAGAGGUGAAAUUCGUAGAUAUUCGCAAGAACACCAGUGGCGAAGGCGGCUCACUGGCCCGGUACUGACGCUGAGGUGCGAAAGCGUGGGGAGCAACAGG